UUGUACCUACGGGGGGCAGCAGUGGGGGAUAUUGCACAAUGGGGGAAACCCUGAUGCAGCGACGCCGCGUGUGGGAAGACGGUCCUCUGGAUUGUAAACCACUGUCCCCAGGGACGAAAAUGACGGUACCUGAGUAAGAAGCCCCGGCUAACUACGUGCCAGCAGCCGCGGUAAUACGUAGGGGGCAAGCGUUAUCCGGAUUUACUGGGUGUAAAGGGAGCGUAGACGGCCAGACAAGUCUGAAGUGAAAAUCCAGCGCUUAACGUUGGAAGCGCUUUGGAAACUGCCGGGCUAGAGUGCAGGAG
rnacentral:rRNA from 1 species